UACGUAGAGUGCGAGCGUUGUCCGGAAUUACUGGGCGUAAAGAGCUCGUAGGCGGUCUGUCGCGUCGGUCGUGAAAACUUGGGGCUUAACCCUGAGCUUGCGGUCGAUACGGGCAUGACUGGAGUUCGGUAGGGGAGACUGGAAUUCCUGGUGUAGCGGUGAAAUGCAUUGAGAUCGGAAAGAACACCAACGGCGAAAGCACUCUGCUGGGCCGACACUGACACUGAGAGACGAAAGCUAGGGGAGCAAAUGGG
rnacentral:rRNA from 1 species